AGAACUUCUGAAUCACCCCAGUGAUGUGCCCCUUUAAAAACUUCAGGAAGUUUGCAAAGUAUUUCAGCUUCAAGGCUCCCAGAAAUGCCUGGACAUGAGCCAGAGAUGAAGCAGACGCUUCUGAGCACAGUUGGUUUAACGAAGGAGUGAAUGUACAACAUUCAAACUAGGACCAACUGCCGUGGGUGUUUAUUUGAGACUUCUUCCAGAAUCACACCCACAGAUCUCGCCUGCCUAAUCAGAAUGACAUAAGUCACAGGCUGUUGCUGCCUUGUUUGUGAUUGAAAUCAGAUAACACCUUGAGAGAGGACUGAGGUCACUGGCAGUCAGCACUGGAGAGCAGAUCAUGUUUUAUUGAUUAGGAACAACUGAUGUGUCAUAGGGAAGACUUAAUAAUGCCACAGAAGAUCCCAAUGAGGAAGGAGCUCAUACUGUAUCUUCAGAGGGAAUGGAGCCAAGCCACUGAGAAAUCCGCCAUGUUGAAUUAGGCCAUGUCGCAUCCAAGAGGUUGUGGAAAAGCCAAAACACAUUUGGCUGAACAAACACCAUCAUAAGUUGUUAUAGUGUACAGAUUUCUUUUAGGUUGUAUGGCACU